GCCUUUGAUUUAUGGGGCCAGGCCUCCGGAGCCGGGUGCGCAGGUUCGAAUCCUGCCGAGGGCACCA
rnacentral:tRNA from 1 species